UUAAGCGACUAAGCGUACACGGUGGAUGCCCUGGCAGUCAGAGGCGAUGAAGGACGUGCUAAUCUGCGAUAAGCGUCGGUAAGGUGAUAUGAACCGUUAUAACCGGCGAUUUCCGAAUGGGGAAACCCAGUGUGAUUCGUCACACUAUCAUUAACUGAAUCCAUAGGUUAAUGAGGCGAACCGGGGGAACUGAAACAUCUAAGUACCCCGAGGAAAAGAAAUCAACCGAGAUUCCCCCAGUAGCGGCGAGCGAACGGGGAGCAGCCCAGAGCCUGAAUCAGUGUGUGUGUUAGUGGAAGCGUCUGGAAAGGCGCGCGAUACAGGGUGACAGCCCCGUACACAAAAAUGCACAUGCUGUGAGCUCGAUGAGUAGGGCGGGACACGUGGUAUCCUGUCUGAAUAUGGGGGGACCAUCCUCCAAGGCUAAAUACUCCUGACUGACCGAUAGUGAACCAGUACCGUGAGGGAAAGGCGAAAAGAACCCCGGCGAGGGGAGUGAAAAAGAACCUGAAACCGUGUACGUACAAGCAGUGGGAGCCUCUUUAUGGGGUGACUGCGUACCUUUUGUAUAAUGGGUCAGCGACUUAUAUUCUGUAGCAAGGUUAACCGAAUAGGGGAGCCGAAGGGAAACCGAGUCUUAACUGGGCGUUAAGUUGCAGGGUAUAGACCCGAAACCCGGUGAUCUAGCCAUGGGCAGGUUGAAGGUUGGGUAACACUAACUGGAGGACCGAACCGACUAAUGUUGAAAAAUUAGCGGAUGACUUGUGGCUGGGGGUGAAAGGCCAAUCAAACCGGGAGAUAGCUGGUUCUCCCCGAAAGCUAUUUAGGUAGCGCCUCGUGAACUCAUCUCCGGGGGUAGAGCACUGUUUCGGCAAGGGGGUCAUCCCGACUUACCAACCCGAUGCAAACUGCGAAUACCGGAGAAUGUUAUCACGGGAGACACACGGCGGGUGCUAACGUCCGUCGUGAAGAGGGAAACAACCCAGACCGCCAGCUAAGGUCCCAAAGUCAUGGUUAAGUGGGAAACGAUGUGGGAAGGCCCAGACAGCCAGGAUGUUGGCUUAGAAGCAGCCAUCAUUUAAAGAAAGCGUAAUAGCUCACUGGUCGAGUCGGCCUGCGCGGAAGAUGUAACGGGGCUAAACCAUGCACCGAAGCUGCGGCAGCGACGCUUAUGCGUUGUUGGGUAGGGGAGCGUUCUGUAAGCCUGUGAAGGUGUGCUGUGAGGCAUGCUGGAGGUAUCAGAAGUGCGAAUGCUGACAUAAGUAACGAUAAAGCGGGUGAAAAGCCCGCUCGCCGGAAGACCAAGGGUUCCUGUCCAACGUUAAUCGGGGCAGGGUGAGUCGACCCCUAAGGCGAGGCCGAAAGGCGUAGUCGAUGGGAAACAGGUUAAUAUUCCUGUACUUGGUGUUACUGCGAAGGGGGGACGGAGAAGGCUAUGUUGGCCGGGCGACGGUUGUCCCGGUUUAAGCGUGUAGGCUGGUUUUCCAGGCAAAUCCGGAAAAUCAAGGCUGAGGCGUGAUGACGAGGCACUACGGUGCUGAAGCAACAAAUGCCCUGCUUCCAGGAAAAGCCUCUAAGCAUCAGGUAACAUCAAAUCGUACCCCAAACCGACACAGGUGGUCAGGUAGAGAAUACCAAGGCGCUUGAGAGAACUCGGGUGAAGGAACUAGGCAAAAUGGUGCCGUAACUUCGGGAGAAGGCACGCUGAUAUGUAGGUGAAGUCCCUCGCGGAUGGAGCUGAAAUCAGUCGAAGAUACCAGCUGGCUGCAACUGUUUAUUAAAAACACAGCACUGUGCAAACACGAAAGUGGACGUAUACGGUGUGACGCCUGCCCGGUGCCGGAAGGUUAAUUGAUGGGGUCAGCGCAAGCGAAGCUCUUGAUCGAAGCCCCGGUAAACGGCGGCCGUAACUAUAACGGUCCUAAGGUAGCGAAAUUCCUUGUCGGGUAAGUUCCGACCUGCACGAAUGGCGUAAUGAUGGCCAGGCUGUCUCCACCCGAGACUCAGUGAAAUUGAACUCGCUGUGAAGAUGCAGUGUACCCGCGGCAAGACGGAAAGACCCCGUGAACCUUUACUAUAGCUUGACACUGAACAUUGAGCCUUGAUGUGUAGGAUAGGUGGGAGGCUUAGAAGUGUGGACGCCAGUCUGCAUGGAGCCGACCUUGAAAUACCACCCUUUAAUGUUUGAUGUUCUAACGUUGACCCGUAAUCCGGGUUGCGGACAGUGUCUGGUGGGUAGUUUGACUGGGGCGGUCUCCUCCUAAAGAGUAACGGAGGAGCACGAAGGUUGGCUAAUCCUGGUCGGACAUCAGGAGGUUAGUGCAAUGGCAUAAGCCAGCUUGACUGCGAGCGUGACGGCGCGAGCAGGUGCGAAAGCAGGUCAUAGUGAUCCGGUGGUUCUGAAUGGAAGGGCCAUCGCUCAACGGAUAAAAGGUACUCCGGGGAUAACAGGCUGAUACCGCCCAAGAGUUCAUAUCGACGGCGGUGUUUGGCACCUCGAUGUCGGCUCAUCACAUCCUGGGGCUGAAGUAGGUCCCAAGGGUAUGGCUGUUCGCCAUUUAAAGUGGUACGCGAGCUGGGUUUAGAACGUCGUGAGACAGUUCGGUCCCUAUCUGCCGUGGGCGCUGGAGAACUGAGGGGGGCUGCUCCUAGUACGAGAGGACCGGAGUGGACGCAUCACUGGUGUUCGGGUUGUCAUGCCAAUGGCACUGCCCGGUAGCUAAAUGCGGAAGAGAUAAGUGCUGAAAGCAUCUAAGCACGAAACUUGCCCCGAGAUGAGUUCUCCCUGACCCUUUAAGGGUCCUGAAGGAACGUUGAAGACGACGACGUUGAUAGGCCGGGUGUGUAAGCGCAGCGAUGCGUUGAGCUAACCGGUACUAAUGAACCGUGAGGCUUAACCUU
rnacentral:rRNA from 1 species